UACGGAAGGCAGCAGGGGGGAAUAUUGCACAAUGGGCGCAAGCCUGAUGCAGCCAUGCCGCGUGUAUGAAGAAGGCCUUCGGGUUGUAAAGUACUUUCAGUCGUGAGGAAGGUGUUAAGGUUAAUAACCUUAGCAAUUGACGUUAGCGACAGAAGAAGCACCGGCUAACUCCGUGCCAGCAGCCGCGGUAAUACGGAGGGUGCGAGCGUUAAUCGGAAUUACUGGGCGUAAAGGGCACGCAGGCGGUUAAUUAAGUUGGAUGUGAAAUCCCCGGGCUUAACCUGGGAAUGGCAUUCAAGACUGGUUAGCUAGAGUCUUGUAGAGGGGGUAGAAUUCCAUGUGUAGCGGUGAAAUGCGUAGAGAUGUGGAGGAAUACCGGUGGCGAAGGCGGCCCCUGGACAAAGACUGACGCUCAUGUGCGAAAGCGUGGGGAGCAAACGAGGGAUUAGAUACCCGU
rnacentral:rRNA from 1 species